GCUUUUCAGACAGUGUACUUGUUUUAGUGGUACUGUGGAACCUGAAAAGUAACUAUGUGUGGUUAUGAGAGUGUGUCAGAGAAUUUAAAGAGAUGGAGUGUACAGUUUACAAAGAAAGUGGUUUGUGAAGUAUAUGUUUCUUUUUCAGUAUGCACCUAUAUUAAAGCAUGGAAAGACUUGUCGAUGGGCCAUCUUUACAGGACGGGGUAAUGUGAUCAGCCAUACAGAGACCAGCUGCACUGUUCCCCAGUCCCAGGGGUGGACUGGCCAUAGGGAGAACCGGGACUUUUCCCAGUGGGCCGGCCACGAAACGGAGCUGAACGGGCCGCGAUCCCCAUCCAAUCCACUGAGAAAGGCUGUAUCUAUUUCUCGUCCUCCUGAGCUGUGGAGUGUGACAAUGGUGUUUGUAUCCUGUGUCGUCAAACGCCAUUAUCACACUAAAUAGCCACGGUGAGACCUCACAACCUCCUCAGCCAAGCAGCACAGUGCAACGGUUCUCACAGCACUUCUAUGGACUUCUUGGGAAUAUGAGAUGUUGACCAUUGUGGGUUAUUGUAUGAAUGUGUGUGUACAUAUAAAGGGGCUUUAUUUUGUCUGUGGUGGUUGGUUGGAUGAUAGAUUGGUAGUUAGUGAAAAUAGAUGAUACAGCAGGGCAGCAUGUCCGCUAUAGGUUUACCUACUGACCCAGUUGUUUAUAUUAGACAUGUUAAUGAGUACAGUUUGUACACGUCAUGUGAAAUGUGGCACACUUCCCUCGUAUUGUGUUACAUCGUACACAGUGUACGUGACUUAGCAUUACACCCCCAAGACAAUAAAACCAAUGUGUUGAUAGUCAAUUUCAAGAGA